CUAGAAUAUGACAGGCCAAAUGCGUUUGUUCGAUCUCAGUAACGCCUUCAGACUCGAUAUCCCUUUAUCUUAAAUUAUUGUGGGUGCUUUUCAACAUAAUGAACGCAUCUUCAGUUCUUAUCACCUUUUCAUACUACACAUUUUUGGAAGCAAACAUGCGUGCAAGGAGUAUUAACAAACAUCUGAUUAAUUCUGUGUUCACAGUUCUGAAUAUUUUUAUCACCGACAAACCUGUACGUUUUUUGCAUAUGUUUCAUCCUGCCGUUUUCG